GUGGGAAUCUACCGUACCCUACGGAAUAGCUCCGGGAAACUGGAAUUAAUACCGUAUACGCCCUUUGGGGGAAAGAUUUAUCGGGGUAUGAUGAGCCCGCGUUGGAUUAGCUAGUUGGUGGGGUAAAGGCCUACCAAGGCGACGAUCCAUAGCUGGUCUGAGAGGAUGAUCAGCCACAUUGGGACUGAGACACGGCCCAAACUCCUACGGGAGGCAGCAGUGGGGAAUAUUGGACAAUGGGCGCAAGCCUGAUCCAGCCAUGCCGCGUGAGUGAUGAAGGUCUUAGGAUUGUAAAGCUCUUUCACCGAUGAAGAUAAUGACGGUAGUCGGAGAAGAAGCCCCGGCUAACUUCGUGCCAGCAGCCGCGGUAAUACGAAGGGGGCUAGCGUUGUUCGGAAUUACUGGGCGUAAAGCGCACGUAGGCGGAUAAUUAAGUCAGGGGUGAAAUCCCGCAGCUCAACUGCGGAACUGCCUUUGAUACUGGUUAUCUUGAGUAUGGA
rnacentral:rRNA from 1 species